UUGUUUCAUAUUGAUGUUUGCAGUUAGAUAUAUUGUCUUUGACAUUGGAGCAUUAUGAUCUAGCUGCCUGUUAAUUUAAAUGCACUUCCCUGUUGAAGCCUGCUUGGCCACUCUGGUGCAUUGGCAAUACCAAGGUUUUAUAGGAAUUGAGAUGCAUGUCAUCUCACUUCACAUGAUUUUCCUAAACUAUGAACCAAAGGAGGCCUUAAAUUCCUUUGACCCAGCUGGCUGAUCAAAAGAAUGCUCUCCAUGUGUUUAUAUAGCGUUUUCCAACUCUGAUUGCUUAACUGCCAUUUGGCUGUACUUUUGGAGGGUCAGUAGGGUGUUUCUGCAGUGCCCUGAAGUUUCUAUUCUUGUGAUCUUUUCUGCCAACUGAAUAUUGUUGCUCUCAUUGGUAUGUGCACCUUGAGAUUAUCUUGUAUAUGUCUCAGAGGUGGUUGCUGGUUUCUUGUGUUAAUUUCUUCUGUAGUACUUCCUUCUGCCUGCAUUUUUCAUUGACUACAGUUUAAGCAUUUUGGAAUGGAAAAUGCUUAGUCUUGAGGCAUUUUGUUGUUGAGGUAUGUGGUUGACCGAACUGCCAGCCUGGUGAUUAGCCUAAGAACUGAAGAAUGAAGAUCUGAAUCUAAUUCUCCAUCGAAGCCUGCUUGGCCGCUGUGCUUGUUGCCUUUCUUUCUUGGCGGGGUUUCUAUGGGAAUCUCUGAUGCUAUUCUCACUUAACUCCUGCACCAUCUUUGCUUUGUUUCUGCAUCAAUUGGGUGGAGUGUUUCGCCUUGUGAACAAAAAAAUUAGCAUAUGAUGAUAAGCAAGACAGGGACUCUGCAGCGGCUCCGGCUCAGAUCAGGGCCGCGAAUGAUGCAUUCGUCUAGGGGAAUCUCUGAUGCUAAUCUAAAUUCACAGAAUCUUCAGUCUUUGCCUGAAUGGACAUGAAUACCACUGGUGUUUGCUAUUUGUAGCUGUUUUUGUAUGGAUUUUAAUCUGACGUUUGCUAAAUUUGUGUUGCAACAAAUCCGGUACAAACAUAAUUAGCAAAUGACGGUAAGCAAGACAGGGACUCUGCAGUGCUCCCGAUUUCAGAUUGGGGCCGCGAAUGAUGCAUCCGUCUAGGGGAAUCUCUGAUGCUAAUUUCCUUUUAGCUUUUUUCUCCUUGCAUUUUUUAUCUUGAUUUAGGUGCUAUUAACUGUGGUAAAUACAGUGUGAGCAUUUUCACAAUGAAUUCUUUUAGCCGUAGGCACUUCCUUGUUCAGAUAAGUGGGGUGCACUGAACUGCCAGCCUGAUGAUUAUCCUCGAGAAUGGAGAUCUGAAUCCACUUCUCCGUGGAAGCCCGCUUGGCCGCUGUGCUUGUUGAAUAUCCUGGUUUCUUGGCUGGGUUCCUCCAGGAGUAAAAUGCAAAACCCCCAAAGUGCACCCAUCCAUUGAUGCAUCUCUCUCACACACACACACAUGUACGCAUGAAGCAGGCCAAAUGGGCUCCGGGAGUGGAUGUGUAGAAGCAAAAGUUAUGAAGGCUUUGGCAGAUCAGAUGAAUGUCCCCACUAGAUUCAUGGUAUGCUUGGAGAAGUACUAGAUGUUAGUUUGAGGCUGCCCACCUUCAAUGGUUUAAUGCCCUGGUGUUUUGCUGUAGAAAUCAUCGUGCCAAUAUUUGUUGGGUUCUGAACAUAACUUACCUUCAAUGGUUUAAUGCCCUGGUGUUUUGCUGUAGAAAUCAUUAUGGCAAUAUUGUUGGGUUCUGAACAUAACUUGUGUGUGAAUUGUAGUACUUAUGUUUGGGCAUAGCAAGAUUAGCAGAUAUGGGAAUCAAGGCCAGAAUAUGUAAUAGUGUCUGUUUAUCAAAUAUGGAACCUUGUGUGCUUGGCCAGCCUGAUGAUUACACCUGUUCAUAAAGAAUGAAGUUCUAAGGUCUGAAUGCUCUUCUCAGUUCCGUUGAAGCUCGCCUAGCUUAGGUUGCUGUGGUGGAUCCUACUCCCUCCUUCCCAAAAUAAUGUACUCCCUCCGUCCACAAAUAUAAGAUGUUCUAACUUUUUGCUGAAUUGGAACAUGCAUGCACACAUGCAUAUAUAUAUAUAUAUUAUCUUCCACCAACCUGGCUAGCUGGGCUCCGAUGAGAGUGCUUGGAGACACAAAAAGUAUGAAGGCUUGCUAAUGCAUAGAAUUCUUGGUUUUGUAUUAUUCUUGGCUUUGCUAAUACAUAGAAUUCUUGCACAACUUCUUUGAAAUAGUUGCUUUUUUCUCGUUUCACGUUGAUGUUUGCAUAUAUCUAUUGGCUUUGUCAUUGGAGCAUUCCGAUCUAGCUGCCUAUGAUUACCAUAGUGUGCAUUGUACUAAGAAUGGAGAUCUAAAUGCACUUCCUUGUUGAAGCCUGCUUGACCACUCUGGUACAUUGACAAUUCCAGGUUUUUGUAGGGUUCUGCUAGAGAUGCUCUUAACCUGCUGUUGCUGUUGCUGCUACCUCCAGCACUGGUGUUACUUUGGACGUCUAGGGGGGAGUGGGGGUGGGCGGUCCGGCUGGAGAUGCUCUUAAUUUCCUUUGACUGAGCUGGCUAAGUGGACUCCAGUUAAUAUAUUUGCUUUGUCCUUUGAGCAUUCUGGUCUAGCUGCCUGAUGAUUACCACUAAGAAUGGAGAUCUGAAUGCACUUCCCUGUUGAAGCUCGCUUGGCCGCUUUGGUGGAUUGGCAAUUCCAAGGGGUUUUUGGGGUCCGUUGGAGUUGCUCUUAACCUGCUGCUGCUGCUGCUGCUGCUUCUUCUACUACUACUAUACUACUACCAUCACUUCAGUUCCUUGCAUGCUUGGAACUACUCAACCCUCCUAAACUCUUAAUUGCCUUUGACCGAGCUGGUUAAGUGGACUCCAGGGAAUAAGUAUGUUGAUGCAAGAAGUACGAAUGAAGGCUUGGCUGAUCAAAAGAGUGCUCCUGUAUGUUUUUAUAGCGUUUUGCAACUCUGUUUGCUUAAUUGGUCAUUAGGGUGUUUUUUGGAUUAGGGUGUUUCUGCAAAGCUCUAUUAUUCCGAUCUUUCUGGCAACUGAAUGUUGUUCCUUUUUCUGUUUGGUAUUGUCUUUUUUGGUUUGUGCACCUUGAAAUUUCCUUGUACCUCAGACAUAUUUGCUGAUUUCGUGUGUGUUUCCUCCGCCUGGUCUUAGUCUGAGGCACUUGUUGUUGGGUGUUGUUGGGUGGGGGUUGUCAAAUGAAUUGCGAACCUGAUGAUUAGCCUAAAAAUGGAGAUGUGAAUCCAUGUCUCUGUCGCUUCGCCUCGUGCUUGGUUCAUCCCAUCCUUUGUUUCUUGCCUGGGUUUCUCAGUAGUAAAUUGCAAAAACCCCAACAUGCAUGCAUGCACACAUGUACGCACAAAAAGUUUUGGCAGAUCGUUCAAUGCCCCCACUAGAUUCAUGUUAUGCUUGUUUAAGGAGCAUUUUAGCUUAGUUUGUGGCUGCCUGCUUUGCUUCCAUGGUUUAUUGCUUGAUGUCUUGCUGUAGAAAUCAUCAUGGAGAUAUUUGUUGGGUUCUGAACAGUUGCUGCCCUCCUUGCAUGCUUUAGUGCCUGUAUUUUGCUGUGGUUAUCAUGGAAAGAUUUGUUUGGAUCUGAAUUUUAUGUUUGGGUUUGUCCUUGGCCAGCCUUAUGAUUACCUAUGCAUAAAGAAUGGAGAUCUGAGUGCCUUUCGAAGCACACCUAGCUCAUGCUGCUGUGGUGGAUCCUACCCCCUCCAUUCCUAAAUAAUGUAGCAGAUUGGAUAUGCACAAAGCAAAUGGGCUCUGAGAAUGUGUGUGUAGAAUGGGCUAAAUGGCCAGCCUGAUAAAGGCCAGAAUACCUAGGCUUUCUCAGCUCCUUUGUACCUCAGCGGAGCUUAGGCUGCCGUGGUGGAUCCUACUCCCUCCAUUCCUAAAUAAUGUAGCAACUUGCUUUCAGGGAGUAAUUUGGAACGUGUAUGCACACACUCUCUCUAUAUAUAUCAGGGGGCGGGGGUCAGUAAACUGCCAGCCUGACGAUUAACCUAAGAAUGGAGAUCUGAAUCCAUUUCUCCUGUUGAAGCCUGCUUGGCUUUGAUUCAUCCCAUCCAUUGUUUCUUCGCUGGGUUUCUCUCAGGAGUAAGUUGAAACCCCAACAUGCACACAUAUACGUACAAGGCAGGCUAAAUGGGCUCCGGGAAUGGAUGCGUAGACUGUAGAAGCAAAUGUUAUGAAGGCUUUGCAGAUCGAUUAAUGCCCCCACUAGAUUUGUUUAGCAUCAUGGAAAUAUUUGUUGGUUUCUGUAGUCGCUGCAAACUCUUCUCACAGUUAAGACAUAACUUCUGUGUGUAUUAAAAGUACUUUCCUUUGGACAUUAGCAGGAUUAGCAGAUACGAGAAUCAAGUUAAUAAUAUCUGUAUAGUACUGUGUUUGUGUAUCUAAUAAGGUUAGUCAUAGUGGGGAGUAACUUGCUGUUAUGCAUAUGACACUAGUUUAUGUUACUGCCUUCAUAGACUAUGGGUAGUAUCAUGCAAGCCUUUAUUUGUUUAGAUGACUCAUUUUGCCUUUGGGUGUGUUAUGUUAUGGUGACAUAUUAUGUUACCACAAACACCUCUCAUUAACUACUUGCCACAUAAGCAAACUUGUCUUGGGGAGCGUUAUGUUACUAUCUUAGUUAGUCCCACUAUGGCCAGCCCAAGGAACAAUAUGUGCAUGGCCAGCCUGGUGAUUAACCUUUGCACAAAAAAUUAAGGCUGCUCCGUUGAAGCUUAGCUUGGCUUUGCCUGCUGUGGUGGAUCCUACUUCCAAGCAUUUUUCUCUUAGGAAUAAAUUGGAUCAUGCAACUCAGAUCAGACAUGUACAUACAUCUCAGAUCAGACAUCUCAGAUCAGACACCAGCCUUGUACAUACAUAUAUUGAUAUGUACAUACAUCUCAGAUCAGACACCAGCCUUGUUAGGCGGGCUCUGGUAAAUGCACAGAAUGCCCAGGUCCGUGACAAUCCUAGUUGAUGAAGUUGUUUGGACUAUCAACUUAUCUCAAACACACAACUUGGAAAUAGUUGCUAUGUUCUCGUUUUAUGUUGAGAUUUGCAGUUGAAAAUAUUGGCUUUGUCAUUCGAGCAUUCUGAUCUAGCUGCCUGAUGAUUUCCAUUGUGUGCACUAAGAAUGCCAAGCCUGUGGAAGUCUGCUUGGCCACUCUGGUGGAUUGGCUCUACUAUUAGCUUGCUCUGCCUGCUGCUGGGUAACUACUACCCUUUUUAUCCAUUUCGAUGACAAGUAUUUCGUGACGGAGGGAGUACAUUGUACCACUACUGCCACUCACCACCAACACCAUCGGCUCUUAUAUUUCUUUACGGAGGGAGUACUUCUCAAAUCUUUCUGAACUCUUCUGCCGAGCUGGCUAAGUGGACUCCAGGGAAGAAAUAUGCUGAAGCAAGAAGUAUGAAGGCUUGCAGAUUGAAAGAAUGCUCCAACUUGCCAUCCGCCAAUGCUUUAACAUUUUUUUGCAACUCUGCUGCUGAAUGGUCAUUGGUCUUUCUGCUAUGUUGAUUUACUCCCUAUUGUAUUUCUAUGUGUUGUUUUGGCAAAAUUGAUUGCUGGAUGUUCAUUGGUCCUUUUGGGGCGUGAUUUAUGUUUUUUUUUGGUUAUCUUCUUGAGCAAGCGAAUAUUGGUGCUCUUGCAGUUGUCACUGUCGUGUUUUUUGCCUGUGUUGCUGUGUGUGCUCGAUGAGAUAUCCUUUUGUACCUCUACCAAACAUUGUUGCUGACUACUUAUGUUAAUUCAUUGUGUUUUUAAAGUGUGUAUUUUUCAGGCAUUAGAUGGUUCGCCAUAUGGGACGAGGGUGGUCUGAAAGCAAAUAACAAUGUGAAGUUGUUGUGUCGUGGUAUAAAAACCAGAGAAUUUUACUCCAGUAAAUUUUUAGGCUGGUUUUGUAUUUGAUUCUUUGUAAAUGUGAUGUACAGUCUUGGCUUAUAAUGUACUUUGGUUUUAAAUACAUACUAUGGAUUUAGAUACAUA